GGAGGGGGGAAAGGCCUGUUGGGGGAGAGGACAUGUGGGAGGGAAGAUGUACCUAUAGUUACUCUCUGUGUCAUCUCAUGGAAUCAGAUUUGCUCUAAGCUCAGGUCUGUGGUGAUGGCUUGAAGUGGGCCAGGGGCAGAAAUAGGUAGUAAUUUCCUUUAACUUGUGGGUCUUUACAAUAAAUUUCCCGCCCAUCAAAGCCAGAAAAUUCAUUGAGACCAAAGCUCUGCCUAAUUUCUAAAAGCCAAAAGCAAGAAAAGGAUAAAGGAGGAAAGGAAAGACUAUUGUUGUCUCGAGGUGUGCUCUUUGGACACAACAAACUAAACUUUAACUCAAUAUAAAUGUUAGGACAGAAGCAGCUGCUGCUGCUACCAAAAAAGCCCACCAAGUGCUAUCAUUUGCUUUCUUGCCUCACAGAGUUUGUUAAAAUUAAAUGAGGGUAAUUUAUUAAGGAAAGCAAAGGGCCAGGGGUAAGUUGAUAAUAAUAAUAAGCAGUAGAAAGACCAGCAACUGGCUUGUCUGUGAUAAGGGAUUCAAAGAAAUAGAACUUUGAGGCAGGAAGCAAUGUAUAUUCCCCAGCCUGCUCAUCAACUUCCUCACCUCAUCUCAACCUCUCAGCAGUUUGGAGCUGCAAGUGGAGAUAUGUGACCACACUACAUUCAGGGAAGUGCCUUCUCAUUCUUGCCUCCUCCUUACACCACACUAUACAAAGUUGUCCCUUCACUCAGACCCACUGUUUAUUUCUCAGGCCCCAGACUUAAGAUAACCAAUCUUGCCUUAAGCACCUGAGAAAAUGACCAGACUAUUGCUUUUAAGGGUUGUUUCCUUUCAGAUUUGCCAGGUCCACCAGGAAAAAUUCAUCACCUUUGGUCCUGACAACAUCAAGUUUACUGCUUUGGUGUUUACCUUGAGUCUCUGUAAAGUUGUGUCUAAGGAAAGAAACUUCAGAGGGGACUCUUGAAUACCAGGAAAAUAGAAGCAACUGCCUUGCAUUGUGGGAAGCCCUAAAUGUAUCUUCAGAAUAAACUCCAACAAGGGUGGUGAGGAGAAAGGACAUGGAAGAGAAAUUAGGGCUGUUCCUGAGGUACAGCAUCAAGCCAGAAUACCAUAACCAAGUUGUGGGAAUUUUAAGAAACAGAAAAUCUAUUCCUGAUUAUCCAGACUUCCUUCUCCAUAUCAUAGCAGCCUUCUCAUUCUGGAAGAUACUUUGGCCACCAUGAUCCUGCACAGGAAUCUCCAACUUGAUAAAUUUCUUCAUCUCACAGGGCUCAGCUGAUGCUUAUUUGUCUUCCUAAUUCGUGGGAGACCUCCAGCUGCCACUCUGUGAUGAGGAGUCACUAUGGAGCUUGAAUACAUCUCUACCCAAGCAGAAACCAUGUCCCAUUGAUCAGUUUGGGCAAACAUUCAUUAAUUGCUUCCUUAUGGGCAAAGAAUUGUGCAAGAUGCUAGGAAAAUGUCUCUACCCGCAGAGAGCUUAACUUUUAUUAAGGGGACAAGUCCACAGAAGAAUACUGUACAAGUUACGUGUGAUGAGGUCGAAGGAGAUUAAAAAAAAGUUUACUAAGAAAACUGGAGAAUUGGAAGAAAUUUUUUAACUAAAGAGAGGAUCAAAGUCAAUAAAAACUUCAUGAAAAAACUGGCAACUUAUAGGAAAAAGAAUGAUUUGGAUAAAGGAGAUGUCUACACAUCAUGAAUAAAGCUCUGCAAGUAAGG